GGGAAGAUAACGACGGUACCCAAGGAGAAAGCACCGGCUAAAUACGUGCCAGCAGCCGCGGUAAUAUGUAUGGUGCAAGCGUUGUCCGGAAUUACUGGGCGUAAAGAGUUCGUAGGCGGUUAGAUUAGUCAGAAGUGAAAGGCUACGGCUCAACCGAGGAAUUGCGUUUGAAACUGCUGUGCUAGAGUCUCGGAGAGGUUGGCGGAAUUCCAGGUAUAGGAGUGAAAUCCGUAGAUAUCUGGAGGAACACCGGUGGCGAAGGCGGCCAACUGGACGAGUACUGACGCUGAGGUACGAAAGCGUGGGGAGCAAACAGGAUUAGAUACCCUGGUAGUCCACGCCGUAAACGAUGGAUAUUAGGUGUCGGGGGUUUACCUUCGGUGCCGCAGUUAACGCGUUAAAAUAUCCCGCCUGGGGAGUACGGUCGCAAAGGCUGAAACUCAAAAGGAAUUUGACGGAAUCACGAAUU
rnacentral:rRNA from 1 species